rnacentral:rRNA from 1 species
UACGUAGGCAGCGAGCGUUUGUUCGGAAUUACUGGGCGUAAAGAGUGUGUAGGCGGUGCUCCCAGUCUGUUGUGAAAUCUCCCGGCUUAACUGGGAGGGUGCAGCGGAAACUAGAGUGCUAGAGGGUGGGAGAGGUAAGCGGAAUUCCUGGUGUAGCGGUGAAAUGCGUAGAUAUCAGGAGGAACACCUGUGGUGUAGAUAGCUUACUGGACCACUUCUGACGCUGAGACACGAAAGCGUGGGUAGCAAACAGG